ACAGAUAGACGUCUUCCCCUUUUUUAGUUCGCUUUGAACCGACCGUUUCUUCUUUUCUUCUCAUCCUCUUUUUUUUAGUGGAUGACUCUUCUGUGUCCUCGUCCCUGUCUGACUUCCUGUCGUGACAGCGGGUGGACAGUUUAAAAACAAUGCCCCGCAGCUUCACAGGCGCUCUCUGUGAAAGGGACUCUGUCUCUCGGCGUUCCCGUUUUGAAAGAUCCUGCGCUUAAACCCGACGAGGUUUUCGAAAGCAGGACCGAAGACGACCCGAAUGAGGGAACAGAGGGAAGCGCUCCUCUGAGAAGCCCGAGUGAGAGACAGGUCUCUCGCACCUGCGCUCACCUGAGACCAGCCUAUCCAGUCACAACUCAGCAUGAUGGCCACCCCACCAAAUACCUAACCGUAGACUGAGGCUCUCAGUGAAGUAACCAGCGUAGAAGCACAAGGACCCCAGUGACUGCAGCCAGCCAGCGACUAUUUUACACCUUCCUGCAGUCCUGGAGUUACUGAGACUAUUUUCCACCCUCCUGGAGUUACUGAGACUAUUUUACACCCUCCUGGAGUUACUGAGACUAUUGUCCACCCUCCUGGAGUUACUGAAACUAUUUUACACCCUCCUGCCUUCCUGGAGUUCCUUAGACUAAUUUUCACUCCAAUAUAUUUUCCAAAAUAUUUAAUCGUUAUUUUUUUAACUAUAUCAAAAAAGUAUAUCGUUUUAAAAAAAUAUAUUACCUCUAUCAGUCUUUGUUCACCUCUGUUAUACUGCUUGUUAAUAAUAUUAUUUUUGCAGUUCUCUCUACAUGUUUCUGUCAUUUAAAUAGAUUACAAAAUAAAAAAAAAUUAAAAACAUUUAGUCAGAAAAAAGCGCAAUAAAGAUUCUUUAUGGUCAGCUACAGUGCAUUGGCCUGUACAGCUGGAGUUUUUCUCUACUGCCCAU